GAACUGAAGAGUUUGAUCCUGGCUCAGAUUGAACGCUGGCGGAAUGCUUUACACAUGCAAGUCGAACGGCAGCACGGGUGCUUGCACCUGGUGGCGAGUGGCGAACGGGUGAGUACUGCGUCGGAACGUACCGAGUAAUGGGGGAUAACGCGGCGAAAGUCGCGCUAAUACCGCAUACGCCCUGAGGGGGAAAGUGGGGGAUCGCAAGACCUCACGUUAUUCGAGCGGCCGACGUCUGAUUAGCUUGUUGGUGGGGUAAUGGCCUACCAAGGCGACGAUCAGUAGCGGGUCUGAGAGGAUGAUCCGCCACACUGGGACUGAGACACGGCCCAGACUCCUACGGGAGGCAGCAGUGGGGAAUUUUGGACAAUGGGGGCAACCCUGAUCCAGCCAUUCCGCGUGAGUGAAGAAGGCCUUCGGGUUGUAAAGCUCUUUCAGCCGGAGCGAAACGGUACGGGUUAAUACCCUGUGCUAAUGACGGUACCGGCAGAAGAAGCACCGGCUAACUACGUGCCAGCAGCCGCGGUAAUACGUAGGGUGCGAGCGUUAAUCGGAAUUACUGGGCGUAAAGCGUGCGCAGGCGGAUUAUUAAGCAAGACGUGAAAGCCCCGGGCUUAACCUGGGAAUGGCGUUUUGAACUGGUAGUCUAGAGUGCGUCAGAGGGGGGUGGAAUUCCACGUGUAGCAGUGAAAUGCGUAGAGAUGUGGAGGAACACCGAUGGCGAAGGCAGCCCCCUGGGAUGACACUGACGCUCAUGUACGAAAGCGUGGGUAGCAAACAGGAUUAGAUACCCUGGUAGUCCACGCCCUAAACGAUGUCAACUGGUUGUUGGGGGAGUGAAAUCCCUUAGUAACGAAGCUAACGCGUGAAGUUGACCGCCUGGGGAGUACGGUCGCAAGAUUAAAACUCAAAGGAAUUGACGGGGACCCGCACAAGCGGUGGAUGAUGUGGAUUAAUUCGAUGCAACGCGAAAAACCUUACCUACCCUUGACAUGUCCGGAAUCCUGCUGAGAGGUGGGAGUGCCCGAAAGGGAAUCGGAACACAGGUGCUGCAUGGCUGUCGUCAGCUCGUGUCGUGAGAUGUUGGGUUAAGUCCCGCAACGAGCGCAACCCUUAUCAUUAGUUGCUACGCAAGGGCACUCUAAUGAGACUGCCGGUGACAAACCGGAGGAAGGUGGGGAUGACGUCAAGUCCUCAUGGCCCUUAUGGGUAGGGCUUCACACGUCAUACAAUGGUCGGUACAGAGGGUUGCCAAGCCGCGAGGUGGAGCCAAUCCGGAUUGUUCUCUGCAACUCGAGAGCAUGAAGUCGGAAUCGCUAGUAAUCGCGGAUCAGCAUGUCGCGGUGAAUACGUUCCCGGGUCUUGUACACACCGCCCGUCACACCAUGGGAGUGGAAUCUGGCAGAAGUAGGUAGCCUAACCGCGAGGAGGGCGCUUACCACGCUGGGUUUCAUGACUGGGGUGAAGUCGUAACAAGGUAGCCGUAGGGGAACCUGCGGCUGGAUCACCUCCUUU
rnacentral:rRNA from 1 species